UUUAAGGUCUAACCUGCCCAAUGAGGAUUUAAAUGGCCGCAGUAUUUUGACUGUGCAAAGGUAGCAUAAUUAUUAGUUUUUUAAUUGAAAGCUUGUAUGAAGGGUUGGACGAGAUAAAAUCUGUCUUUAUUUAAAUUAAAGUAUAAUUUAACUUUUAAGUCAAAAGGCUUAAAUGUUUAUAAAAGACGAGAAGACCCUAUAGAUCUUUAUUUAGUUAAGAUUUUAAUAAUUUAGGAUUAUUUUAAUUUGGAGUCUUAAUUGAAUUUUAUUGGGGUAAUAUAAAGAUUAAAUGAAUUCUUUUUAUUUAUGACAUUAAUUUAUGAAUAUAUGAUCCAUUAAUAUUGAUUAUAAGAUUAAGUUACCUUAGGGAUAACAGCGUAAUUUUUUUGGAGAGCUCAUAUCGAUAAGAAAGUUUGCGACCUCGAUGUUGGAUUAAAAAUUAGCUUGGGUGCAGAAGCUCAAGAUUUUGGUCUGUUCGACCAUUAAAUUUUUACAUGAUCUGAGUUCAGACCGGCGUAAGCCAGGUCGGUUUCUAUCUUUAUUCAGAUAAAAUAUUUUAGUACGAAAGGACCAAGUAUUUAAUAUAAUUAUAUUUAUUUUUUGAAGAAUAUU
rnacentral:rRNA from 7 species